GGCGGGCGGGGGAACCGGGGUUGCGGCUGCCCGUGCCGGCAGGGCCCGGUGGGGCUGGGCCUUGGCCUUGGCCUCGGCCUCCGGCGGAGCCUGCCCGCGGGGCAGGCUGGCCGACCGAUCGCCAUCUCGGCUGCCAGGCCCUGCCCUGCCCGAGGGGUCGUUGCUGCGACCCCUCCCCAAGUUAGUCCAGUGCCAGAAGAGCUGAAGGAUGAGCUGAAAGACUUGGAAGUGAUGGUUGAUGGAAAACUCAACAUGAGCCGGCAAGUGUGCGCUCUCAAGCCAAAAAGCCAAUCGAACUUGGGCUGCGUCAAAAGCAGCAUUGGGGCCAGCAGGGCGAGGGAGGUAAUUCUGCCUCUCUGCUCUUCUCUGGUGAGACCCCAGCUGGAGUGCUGUGUACAGUUCUGGUGUCCCCAACAUAAGAAGGACAUGCAGCUGUUGGAGCAAGCCAAAAGGAGGCCUCGAAGCUGAUAAAAGGACUGGAACACCUCUCCCAUGAGCACAGGCUGAUAAAGCUGCAGCUGUUCAGCCUGGAGAAGAAAAUUGUGUGGAGACCUCAGCAGCCUUGCAGUGUCUGAAGAAUCCUAGAGGGAAGCUGGAGAGGGGCUCUUUGUCAGAAACUGCAGUGAUAAGACACAGAGUAAUAGGAUGACAUGGUAAGACUUUCCUCCAUCCAUAGCUAAGCAGCUGCUUCUGUAUUUAUGAGAAGCACAGGUUUCUAAAGUGUCCUGUACACAGUGAAUGACACCACACUAAGUCUGGGAGUCCGAAUGGAUGGUACAGCUGUGAGUUAACAGUGUGUCUUUGUCUAGCAAAUGUUAAACCAAACUGUGAAGCUCCUCUGAAUUAUUCACAUCAGGAAUCAUUGCCUCUAAGUGCAUGAACAUUGCCUUGAAAACUUUGAUUGAAGUGUGGCUUUUGUAA